UAUCUUCGGGGCAGGGAGAAUUUCCCUACCGGCUGUGAGCACCUCAAGGUGUAAGCCAGCGAGCCCUUCUUAGGGCAUGAUACGGUGUGAUUCCGUAGCCGACAGUAUAGUCUGGAUGAGAGAAGAU
rnacentral:ncRNA from 1 species